GACGAACGCUGGCGGCGUGCUUAACACAUGCAAGUCGAACGGAAAGGCCCUGCUUUUGUGGGGUGCUCGAGUGGCGAACGGGUGAGUAACACGUGAGUAACCUGCCCUUGACUUUGGGAUAACUUCAGGAAACUGGGGCUAAUACCGGAUAGGAGCUCCUGCUGCAUGGUGGGGGUUGGAAAGUUUCGGCGGUUGGGGAUGGACUCGCGUCUGAUCAGCUUGUUGGUAGGGUAGUGGCUUACCAAGGCUUUGACGGCUAGCCGGCCUGAGAGGAUGACCGGCGACACGGGAACUGAGACACGGCCUCGACCGGGACGGAGGGGAGCGGUGGGGAAUAGUGGAGGAGGGGCGAAAGUGUGACAAAGCAGUGCGGGGGGAGUGGGGAAGGGCGUAGGGUUGCAAAGCUGUCUGAGACGGGAUGAGAGUGACAGUACCGGGAGAAGAAGCGCCGGCUAACUACGUG
rnacentral:rRNA from 1 species